CCUCCCCCUAGCAGUGUCGCAGGUGUGGCUGCUGUGCCACCUGUGUGUCCUCAGGUGGCAGAAAGGAGAGAGGCUGUGUCUAUGCUCAGUGUUCUGACCUACGAACGUCUGGGUGAUUACUAGCUUCACAUU